GACGAACGCUGGCGGCGUGCUUAACACAUGCAAGUCGAACGGAAAGGCCCUGCUUUUGUGGGGUGCUCGAGUGGCGAACGGGUGAGUAACACGUGAGUAACCUGCCCUUGACUUUGGGAUAACUUCAGGAAACUGGGGCUAAUACCGGAUAGGAGCUCCUGCUGCAUGGUGGGGGUUGGAAAGUUUCGGCGGUUGGGGAUGGACUCGCGGCUUAUCAGCUUGUUGGUGGGGUAGUGGCUUACCAAGGCUUUGACGGAUAGCCGGCCUGGGAGGGUGACCGGCCACAUUGGGACUGAGAUACGGCACAGACUCCUACGGGAGGCAGCAGUGGGGAAUAUUGCACAAUGGGCGGAAGCCUGAUGCAGCAACGCCGCGUGCGGGAUGACGGCCUUCGGGUUGUAAACCGCUUUCGCCUGUGACGAAGCGUGAGUGACGGUAAUGGGUAAAGAAGCACCGGCUAACUACGUG
rnacentral:rRNA from 1 species